rnacentral:rRNA from 1 species
GAAACCGCUGAGAAUGAAGCGGAUAGAGUCGACGAAACUUAAUCAGUAUUCAGCCGAUACGCUCGAACGGUGGCGUGUAUGUGACGUGCAUAUUUGCGCUCUAAAGGUUCAAAAUUGUGCACGUUUAACGUAUACGUUUCUCUACUGUUUGGUGUUAAUAUCGGUGCAUUUAUUGGUUGUAUGCGUUGAGAGCUUCGUAGUGUAUUGCGCAUGAGACUACUCGUAUUUAGAGGCUUGUCGAGUUUUACCACUUGACAAGAUACCUAAUAUGGGAAAGUUAGCGUGUCGCCUAUGAAGUUUGCGCUUUUUUCGCGCGCAACUGAACGCAUUUUUUUCUUGUUUACGCAAGAGGAGAUUGUGUUCAAUGCGUCUGUAUCAUUUAUGGGCGUAUUUUGACUGCAUGUCGGUCUAUGUGUCGUUAUGGCGUCGCCUCGUGUGGCGUUGCGCGAUACAUAGUCGCGUGCGUUUUGAUACGUUUUUCGUUGGUGAUACAGUGCUUUUGUUGAGUUGCGUGUCUCGACGUGAACGUCGAUCACCUAUCCGACCCGUCUUGAAACACGGACCAAGGAGUCUAGCGUAUACGCGAGUCAUUGGGUGUGCGAAUGCCUAAAGGCGUAAUGAAAGUAAAUGUUAUCGUUUUUUUUUUCCAAAAGAACGACGGUAACAGUUAUGCGAUUUGCAAUGUGUUUUCUUGAUUUUUUCUCGUUCUUAAUUCAUUGCAAAGCAGCAUAGUCCCGUCUACGUUACAUGUAAUGAGGCGGAGAAUGAGCGUAUGCGCUGGGACCCGAAAGAUGGUGAACUAUGCCUGAGCAGGACGAAGCCAGAGGAAACUCUGGUGGAGGUCCGAAGCGGUUCUGACGUGCAAAUCGA